rnacentral:rRNA from 1 species
AUGUUCUUUAUUUGGAAUUGCAUAGCAAGGUUCUUCUUCCUCAAAUUUGACAUGUGCCUUUUGGUCAGCCAUAAAAAGAAGACUAUAUUGUUCACUAGAGACAUGGUGCAAAAAAAAUUUAAUGUCCCAUCCGGACCAAGGGUAGUGGAGCUGCUGAAGAGGAACGAACGUUGCGAGCUACGCGACAUAUAUCGAGAAGGCACAAGGGCUCCAAUUAAGAAAUCCAUUUCUGUAAUCAAGAAAGCAUCGGAUAAUGAUGUUGUUACUUUAGAGAGGACUUGGGUUCUUUUAUGCCUUGCUCUUGUGCUAGUUCCUGGCACCGGCAACAUGGUCUCGUUGGACUACCUUGCUAGCUUGAAGGACUUGGAUGAACUGAAUGAGUUUGCGUGGGACGAGCAUGUGUUGGCAACUGCGUUGAGGGAGGCGAGGAAUUACCAACUAAAGAGGGAGGCUGGGGCAAGUGGCUUCUGGAUAGGGGGCUGUCUACCUAUGUUCGUGGUAUGCCAAACGCAAAUCAUUUUUGUCUAUGUUUUCAUUGGUUCAUAUUUUUGCUUUACUUUAUUUUAUUUUAUUCUGCUCGCAACAAUCAUAUGUACGAUACAACCUUCUGAUUUGUUUUCUUUUUCAAAAAUAUAUGUAGUUAAUUUAGAUGGAUUUCCUGGAUGUGCCUCGGUCAUUGAUUAG